AUGAGGAUUUCGAGGCCGUACUCGGGGGUGUCCAGAAGCGGGGCGACGGCGAGGACGGGGCCGCACGCACUGCCGCUGGCGCGGAUCAAGAAGAUCAUGAAGCGGUCGGCGGGGGACGGCAGCGGCGGCGACGGCGCCGGGGCCAGGAUGAUCUCGGGCGAGGCGCCCGUGGUGUUCUCCAGGGCGUGCGAGCUGUUCGUCGCCGAGCUGACGCAAGCCGCCUGGGCCGCCACGCUCGAGGGCCGGCGCCGGACCGUGCACGCCGAGGACGUCGCCGCCGCCGUCAGGGACACCGACCUCUUCGACUUCCUCGUCGACGUCGUCAAGCCCAGGCCAGGUGACGAUAGCGUCGGUGACGGAGUCGGCCUCGCGCCGGCCGCCGGUGCCCACGGCGGCGCGCUCGACUAG
rnacentral:rRNA from 1 species